CUCAGAGAGGCGGAGACAGGGCUGUCUUUCUCCAACUAAACGUGAAAUGUUCAGGGAGACAGGACACCGAACUCCCGCAAAUAAUAGAAAUCUACCUCGAAUUCGAUAAGUCGCGACAAGGAGUCUAGGUUGGCGCUCUUUUCAGGCGGAAAUGGAUGGAUUUAGCUCGUGUGUUGACACCUGCUGCAGCCUGGGGCCACAGAGUAAUGAAAUGAAGCUAUUAGGGAUACCAAAUGGUGUAUUUGUUUAAGCCUCACGGAGGAAGCAUAGUCAAGCAUGCUGUCAUUGCCGAAGGGGGAAGUAAUUCCCCAUAAUCCUCAGCACCGGCCCGUACGCCGUAAAGCAGCAGGCCUGCGAUUCCUGCUGCACCCGCUCAACGCUUCCUCCGCUCGCGUGCCGCGAGCACGAUUCCUCGGCGGCGCGAGUGAGCCGAGUCUCCCGCCGAGCGCCGUAACGUGGGGGUCGCGGCGUGACGCGAAGCCUGUCGGCGGUGGAUCUGCUGCGUUCGACCCUGAGAUCCAAAGUCUCCCCGGGGUCUGGGACGGUGAGGCUUGCAUGGCGGCCCUACGAGACAAACGACAAACCAGAUUUGCUCACCGAUCCGAUGAUGUCACAACUUCCAUAAAGGCGAGUGGGACAUCUGUGAAGAACCGACACCCACCUGACAAAUUCAGCGGCUGAAGGCUGAAAUAUGGGACUGCUCAUCACAAAUCAUCCGUACAAGAGUGUCCGGAGGAAUUCAAUUUGUACUAUUCCACUGCAAGCCAGGGAACGUGAACGACAGACAACAAUGGACCUACUGUAAACAACACAUUUCUGCAUUGCGCUGCAACCUUGAAACAGAGGUUUCUUUUUUUGCGGCACAAGGAUGGUCUCUCCAGCACCUUUGUGCUCCCGUUUGAAAGUCACUAUUGUAGCGAUGCCUCCGCUGUGGAAGUGGGCUAAUUGUCUUUGUGUUGGUCUGCUCUGAGUCACAAUGCAGCCCUGUGCUGCGUCCCAAAGCGAACAAUUACACGCUCUGUUCGCAGGGGUUUCUGCCUUCUGAAGGUGCUGUCUGCUCUGGUUGUGGGCACAUGCACACACACAUGCCAGGCUGCAUGUACACACAUGUCCUAUGUCACACGCACACACACAUGCAAUAUACACACAUCUGUUUUGUUUAUGGACAACACUCUCUCUGUCACUCACACACGAGGGGGGAACCUGAACAGCAUGUCUUUGGAGUGUGGGAGGAAACCAGAGCGCCCGGAGGCAACCCACACGGACACGGGGGGAACACGCGACCUCCACACGGACCGAGCGGGGAUCGAACCCACCUCCUCUCGCUACUCGCUGUACCACCGCGCCGCCACACAUGGUCAUAUAGGCACACGCGUGCACACAUAUAUGUACGUGCAGGUAGAAACCUAGACACGCAGUUCCAUCUAAAUCAAGUCACUGAGUCAUAACAGUGAAUUGAGGAGGGUCAGCAGAAUAUGACUUGUUUUAUACCCUGAGUGAGGGACUGAUUUGGUUAUUUUAUUUCCCCUCCCUGUGCUUUCUCCCCCUACCCCAUGCUGCAGGUGAUGUUUACUCGUGACAGAGACCACCAUUUACAUCAUCAAGGACAAAGCUGCUGCGGGGCCGUUUUCUGUCACCAUGUGAGAUGUCAACACCUUUCAACAUGAAAGUAUCAGAAAUCAAAACAAAUCGAUCUUUGACAAAAUAAUGCAUGCAAUUAUACGCAUGCAUUAUUUUGUCAAAGAUGGAAUUGUUUUGAUUUUGUCACAAAAAAAGACCGCAUCACACUCUGAGAAUGAUUGCGUUAUUAUUUCUUAAACUUACAAUCACUUUAACGUCUUCAUAAACCUAACACUGUUCGCGGUCCGUUCCGUACUAGAUCGACGCCACCUACUAAAAUUUCACGCGGAAAAUAAGUUAUAUAGGAUCACCGCUUUCAUACUUCAGCGGAGCAAAUUGCUCCAGUGGUUCCAAUUUAUCGCGAAGGUGCUAUUAAUCAGUAUUUAGAACCGAUCCGUCAAGUGGCAAGCGAACAAACAAAUCUGAAUGAUAAUGACAAAGGUUGACUGAAGCAGAAUAGUUGAAGGCCAAGCAGCAGAUCAAACUGAAAGUCGGUGGAGCAGGAAGGAUGUGGUGAAUUCUAAUUAAUCCGCUGUCAAUUAAGCGCCCUCAUCGCGCAAGUCCCGGGAGAAAGUCCCAGCACUAUUUAGCGUCAGAAGAAUGGAGUUCCAACCGUGUGGUGUCAAGUCUCCGGCCUGGGGCGCCAGGGAGUUGCGUGCUCUGGACAAGCGGAAGCUCAGCAGCGCGGAGUCCUAGAAGCGUUCUCAAACACUACUUCCAACGUGCACGGAUAACACUCGGACAGAUCUCGCCUCCCUGUCGGGGCAGAGCUCCAGAAAAAGUCUAGAGUCCCAUCUAUCUCGGGGCACGGCGAUGCGUGAUGUCGGAUCUUCUUCGUGAUGAAGUCAUCCGAGCGUUUGAGAGCAGCGUUUCGCUGAGCGGCCAGCCCGUCCUGGGAAUUGUGUCGUCAAAGCAGCUGGAAUAGCUCUUAGCGUUGUGGUUAGAACUGCUGUCUUUGGCCCUGAAGUUUGCAGGAUUGAAUCCCCCCUCGCGGCCGUAGAAACCUCGAGCGAGGCACGCGUUGUCUCAAAUCGCUUGUCCCGAGUGGGGAUGCAGUGAGCCAGAGCCUAACCUGGCAGCGCGUGGUACGGGGCUGGAGGGGGAGGGGACGCACCCAGGACGGGACGCCAGUCCAUCGCAUGGCACCCCAAGCGGGACUCGAACCCCAGACCCACCGGCCGAGCCCGCUGCGCCACCGCGCCCCCUUGAGCGAGGCACUUACCCUAAAUUGCUCCGGCGAGAAAAUGACCCAUCUGAGUAAAUGGGUGAAUAAUCGUAAAGUACCUUAAUCAACAUUGUACGUUUCUUUGGAGAAAAGUGUCGGCUGAACGAGUCGACGUAAAGCGUUGCCUUUUCCUUCUAAGGCGAGGACUCCCUUAAGCUUCGUAGCACACCUCCGUCUUUUCUAAUAUAAUUAUGGCCAAACCGAAGGGAGUCAAGGGAAGAGCGCCGAAAGACAUCUGACCCUUGCGCGCCGCACACUUUGCGGUUCUAUGCUUAUUCUGAACGCAAGGAACAGUAGCUGGAUUGUUUCGUAAUUCCAACAAAUCUUAUUACGCCAUUAGAAAUGCAGGAGUUCCAUUCAGCACCGACAGGUCAAAGUCCGAAGCAAGCGAACGCGGCGGCGGGAUCCUCGGAACUCAUGCUUCGCGUGACCCCGAAAGGAGCGUGUCCCACGAGAGGAACCCCAAGGCGAGCGGUUUCGCCACGGUGAUGCUCGAUCGCACUUCCACAUCACGACACGCACCGUCACGCAGGACACGCUUGGGUCGAGGCCUUAAACGGCGAGGCUAACGGCCGUCGGCGGAACGCAGAUUUAAGCAGGAUUCGCACCCCGUUCCCGAAAACGUUCCGGGAACGGCACGCCGCCGAGCUCUCGGAAUCUUACGGCGAGGUCUUCGUCUUCUGUUUACGGCACGGAUAUCGCAGGCUGCAUCAUGAAUUGAGUUUGUCCCUCUGCCCUCGCUCUUUUGUCGCUUUUCGCAGGAGCCGUAAUGAAAUGCAGGCCGCGCUCUCGGGGCUCUGUUAAUUACUUCUCUAUUUAUUUAGCGGAUCCGUCGGCGGGGGCCGUCCUCGGCCAGAGGAUUGUCUGACUCCCCUCUUAAAUAGCCCAGAUUCCAAUCCUCUGAUGCGGAAACUAACACGAGUUCCGCUUUCAUCUCGACGGCGCGUCAGAUUAGCGCCCGAAAGAUUGCAGAUAUUAAGACCUUUAAAAACGGACCCGAAGACAGCACGGUCGCAAGGAGCGUGCGGCGGGGUGGUUUCCCCCGUCACGAGAACUUUCUCGCGCGUGACCCAGUUCGCGCUGCAUCUGGACACGGACUCCAUCCAACUCCAGCAAAAAAUAAAUAAAUAAAUAAAAUUCA
rnacentral:lncRNA from 1 species